rnacentral:rRNA from 1 species
UACGUAGGUGGCAAGCGUUGUCCGGAUUUACUGGGUGUAAAGGGCGUGUAGCCGGGUUGACAAGUCAGAUGUGAAAUCCUGCGGCUUAACCGCAGAACUGCAUUUGAAACUGUUGAUCUUGAGUACUGGAGAGGCAGACGGAAUUCCUAGUGUAGCGGUGAAAUGCGUAGAUAUUAGGAGGAACACCAGUGGCGAAGGCGGUCUGCUGGACAGCAACUGACGGUGAGGCGCGAAAGUGUGGGUAUCAAACAGG